rnacentral:rRNA from 1 species
AACGAACGCUGGCGGCAUGCCUAACACAUGCAAGUCGAACGAGACCUUCGGGUCUAGUGGCGCACGGGUGCGUAACGCGUGGGAACCUGCCCUUAGGUUCGGAAUAACUCCCCGAAAGGGGUGCUAAUACCGGAUAAUGUCUUCGGACCAAAGAUUUAUCGCCUUUGGAUGGGCCCGCGUUGGAUUAGCUAGUUGGUAGGGUAAAAGCCUACCAAGGCGACGAUCCAUAGCUGGUCUGAGAGGAUGAUCAGCCACACUGGGACUGAGACACGGCCCAGACUCCUACGGGAGGCAGAAGUGGGGAAUAUUGGACAAUGGGCGAAAGCCUGAUCCAGCAAUGCCGCGUGAGUGAUGAAGGCCUUAGGGUUGUAAAGCUAUUUUACCCGGGAUGAUAAUGACAGUACCGGGAGAAUAAGCUCCGGCUAACUCCGUG